rnacentral:lncRNA from 10 species
AGUGCUUGUUUCAGUUGCAAGAAAAUAUAUGAGCUGAUUUGUCAGAGGAAAAGAAAAAAAAGACCAAACAUAAACCUCCAGUGAUAAUUCAGUUAUAGACAGCUUUGAGCAGAGAAGAUGGAAUCAAUCACUGAAAUGGUUUCCGUGUUAGAAAAAGUCCCAAGAAUAUGGUUGAAGAUUCUGUCAUUGCCCAGGGCCCACUAAACUCAGGGCAGAUACUUGGACCAUUGACUUAUGCCUGCAUAGACUGUCAACUCCUCUGAGGACACGAAUCCUUUAAAUAACCCAUACGCUCCAGUGUAGUAUACACUUAUUUUUAACUGUUGGGUAUCCUUUAAUAAGUAUUUGUCAAAUUGAAUUGUACUGAAUUUUCAGAUAUUGCAACAGACUUUUAAAAAAUUACAUUGGUUUGAUUGAUAAUUGCCUUUUUAACCACCUCCACCCCCACAAAAAACUACCUCUUCCAGUGAAAGCCUAGGAAAGGCAAGGAGAGCAUUUCUGCUCCUGCUGCUUCCACUUUAACCCCCUCAAUCAGCUGAGGUUGGUGAGUCAUCCACUCCAGAGUGGUAGGCAUUUGUAGCCUGAACACUGUCACAUGUCCCCCAAGGGAGAGGUAUAAUCAGAAGAGCAAUAAUGACUUUCUGCGAGCUGGGAUGAAUGACCUUAUCCCCCAGGUCACCAGGCAAUCAUCUUCUGAAAUCUGCCACAGAUUUAUCACAAUCCUUUCUCUUUCUUUCCACACUGACAUUAUUCCCUCUUCCUUUGCCCCACACACUCCAGCUUGCAUCCAAGGGUUCUCUGAUUGAAUUGUCUGAGGAUGUAAACAGAACUUUCAUAUAUCCCAUCCUUCUCCUGGGUCAGGAGGGAAAGAAGUUGUUCUUGCCAAAAUAUAGGCUUAGUUACCUAUUGGUUUGAACAUUCUCAACACCCUCACCUCCCCAACACAUACACAAGCAUGCCCACAUGCACACACAAAGGGCCAACUGCACACGUUAAUGCCACAUCUUGCUAAUUGUGUUACCCUUGCUGGUUAUUAUUAAGGUCUUUCUUUCAGGAUGGAGAAACCCAGCCACAUAAUGAUCAAGGAGACAAGUGGAGCAUAUCACUGCAGCGACUGUGCAAUGAUAAUGAGUUACAUAAAUCAAAGUUGGGUAAUUUACCUAUCAGACUGAGCAGUGAAUAGGGAUUUUCAGUAACUGUGAUUGUUUGGUGAUAGAUUUUUUAAAAUAACUCUUGUAUGUAGAUGUUCUGGAACUAGAGAUUUGUUCCCCAAAGAGAGGCAGCAGAAUGCUGUGCAGAACAUGGCAUGGCAUGUCAAGAGACUCUUGAGCUAAUUUUAGCUCUGCCACCUUGGGGAAGGAAGCCAUUUCUCUUCUCAGGGCUUCUGAUUCUUCUGUGAAAUAAAAUGAACUUUGCACGCUCUAAAG